GUCCCUGUAGCGCAUUGGAUAGCGCUUUGGACUUCUCAUCCUAAAGUUGUGGGUUCUAAUCCCACCUGGGAUG
rnacentral:tRNA from 1 species